GUGGUCACCAUGGGGUCCGGUCAGAGGAGAUGGUGACCCAGCCAGAGUGGAGAAGAGGGCAGACUCAGGACCUAGGUAGGGACAGCGAGGCAGAGCAGGUGGCCCCAUGCUGUCCUCUGUCUACUUCUCACAGUCUACCCCCAACAAAGUCCCACCAGCAUCUCCCUCCACGGCACAUGGGGCUUUCUUUUUACUUUUCCCUUUAGGUUUUAUCUAAAAAAUUACAAGAAUCUAUAGAAAAGAUCAAAGAUUAGUACCAUGAAAACCCACAUAGCUUUCAUCUGGGUUCACCACUGUUGGGUUUGUUUUGUUUUGUUUUUUACCAUUUUUCCCCAUUUGCGUUCUCUCUCCCUCUCUAGAGUGAGCUGGAUAUAUUUAGAUAGAUUUCAAAGGAAACCAUUGGGAAGUAGGUGGCAGAUAUCUGGACACUCACCCCUCUCAAUGCUGUCCUGAGAAGGAGGACCUCCCCUGUGUGACUGCUGUCCUGUUGUCACACUUAAGAAAUUUAACAUUGGCAGAUAAACCUACUAUUUAAAUUUCCCCAGCUGUACCAAUAAGAGUCCUAAAUCAAUUUAUUUUCUGAUCCAGGAUGCACUCAAGCAUCUUGAGUUGUAUGUACUGUCAUGUCUUUGAGUCUCCUAAGCAGACCUGUCCCAUCCUUCUGCCCCCUCAUGUCACCUCAUCAUGCUUAUACAUGUAUGCACAAAGCCACCAGGCCUGGAGGUGAUGCCCUGUGACACUGCCUGCUGGGCCGUGCCUGGCCUGGCUUCGCUGGCCUCCCCAGUCCUUUGCAGCCUGUGGGGCUGGACCUGCCCACACCCUACUCCCCUCCCCUCUGCACUCUCUCUGCCCAGAACUCCUUCCUGAGCCCUGGGAAUCCAGCCUGAGGGUCUACCGGCAGGAAGUCUUCCCUUGUUCCCAUUCCGGUUCCCAGGGGAGAGUGAGUCCUCUCUCUAGACCCCACAGCCCCGGGUCUUCCCCCACCUCCCCCACCUCAGUGCCGGUGUCUGUUUAGGCACUCUUCUGCCCCUGUCCCCUCAGCAGGCAGGGAACUUCUGAGAGGCAGCUCCCAGCUUGCUUGUCCCCUGUGUCCUCGGCAAUGACACAAGACUGAGACCCAGGACUCAGGCUAGGGGGAUGGAGUUAAUAGAUGAGUAAGAUGGAGGCCUGUGAGGACUGGGCAGAGCAGGCCACUAGACUCCUGCCCCCAGGACAGACAUUCACAGGUGGGAGGCCUGAGGCGUGAAGGCCCAGAGCCUGCUCAAGUUCUAGGAAGCCACUUCAACAUCCUUGUCACUGGACAGAGAAGUUUGGGUUCAUCCCCACAACCAUCACGCUGGGCACCGGAGCGGCUCAGCUGGGUGUGGGAUGGAGAAGCCCAUUUCUACUGGAGGACCUAGUAUGAAGAGGAGGGCUGCCGGCCUGCCCAGACCCUGGGCUACACUUUGGAGGAUGGUGGCUGGAGCCCCAACCUGCUGUCCUCAUCUGCAGCAAAGGCCCCAAAGGGGACUGCCGACCCUGAGCAGACAGAACUGCCUUCCCCACCCCCACAUCCGGCUGCCCAGGAUGCUGGAGUGUUUUCAGGUGAAGAAAAAAGCAUGAGAGGGGCUGGCCCGGUGGGGCAGCGGUUAAGUGUGCAGUUGUGCUUUGACGGCCCAGGGUUUGCUGGUUCGGAUCCCGGGUGCCAACAUGGAACUGCUUGGCAUGCCAUGCUGUGGGUCUUUGCUUCUUCCCUGGAGCCAGAGGCUGAGCUACUGUCCUGGUGUCACCUAGGGAGAUGAGACUCGCCACAUACUGCCCACCUCCAGAACAGCGAGGGCAGAGGCCAAAGCCCUCCUGGGGACGCCCUGACUCCUGAGCUUCACACGGCUAAGUCCACAAAUGGUUAUAGAAGGGAAAGGCCUUGAGAGCCAUCGCACUGCGGGGCCUCCAGCUGAGGGAAGGAGGGAGGGCCCAGUACCAGGCGACUCAUGACUCUGACACCGUGCCUUUCUCAUUUCAGGUUCUUCUGGAUGGUUCCAGAGCUGUAGGAAAAUCUCCCCUAGAAGCUCAAAGGUGACUGGGCUCAGGCUCAGAGGUGGCCUUCUAGGUGCAAGGGAGGGACUGUGUGGCCACCCCACUGACUUGCCCAGGGACAUGGUCAGCCUGCGAUCAGAGCUGGUGCAGCUUGCCUGCUCGGUCAGCAGCGUGAUGGCCAUGGUGUAGAGGCGGUAGCCCAGCAUGAGAAGGAGGGUGCAGGGCAGGGGCCUGAUGCAGGACAGAGGCCACAAAGAAGGCCAGCAGGAGUGACAGCAGUGUCUGAUAGCUGCCCAGGAAGCAUAGGCUGAGCCUGGGGUGCCAGCCAUAACCAGCCGUGUGCCCCCACCACACAUGGUGCAGCAGGUGCCUGUCUGGCAGCCUGGGCUCCGUGAGGUGGUAGUGACAGAAGCUGCUGAAGAAGUCAGCCCAGGAAUACAGGGCAGCCAUCUGGCCUGCAAACUAGAGCACCGACAGAGACAUGGGAGAGUGGGCAUGGGUGGGGUCUGCACUUUCCACCUGGCCUCUCCCAUAGGCUGGCAGGACAGGAAGCCAGCAUGGAGACGAGGGUGCGGCUCUCCCGCCCACACUCAUCCUGUGGUUGAUGGCGGAAGACAGCCGGAUCAGGCCAGCAAUCUCAUAGCUCUGGAUGGGCUACAGCUCUGCACUGCCCUGGUACUUGAUGUCAAACUUGCGCAGCCUGUUGAUGAUCUAGAAGCAGCAGGAGAGGUGAACGCCAGGUGAAACAUGGGUCAUGGGCGCAAUCCAGAAAAUACACCUUUGCUAAUGACUCAGAGGAGAUGUGUCUGUUACAGGGGUGAUGGGGGAGACGAGGACAGGCUGGCAGGACCAACGGCCAUGCUGCCUGGAAAGCCAGACAUCUCCGGGAUGUAGACCUUACCUGGUACUGGCCCAGGGGUGUGAGGAUGAGUCCGUCCUCACUGGCAGUGCAGUCUGGGAGCUGCUUUUUCCCAUUCUCCCCAAGGCAAGUGUGAGCCUCUGCCACUGCAAGACCAAGCCACACGCACAGGGGCUGAGAAAGGCUCCCCAGACCCCAGGGGAGAAGCUCCCCUGACCCCCGACUACCCAUGCGCUGGCCAGGAACAGGCAGCAAGUCUGCUCUGGAAACAGGAGGGCAGUGCAGGGGCUGUGCAACAUGAGAGGCCAAGUGCAGGAAGGUGUCAGACCCCACCUACCACAAAAACGGCUGCCUGCUGACGCACUGGAGGAAAUGGAGGGCAGUGUGAGCCCCAGAGUGGGCUGGGUCUGCUGGGGGCCACCUCAGCAGGAAAGCAGGAGGCACUGUAAUGGUAGAGGGGACAGACCCAGAUGUGACUCCCAGAGGCAUCGUGGCUCUCCCCGCCCCGGAGCACAAGCACCACAACCUCAUCUGCUCCUGUGGCCAGGGAGGGGGCUCUGGAAGUAGCACAGGGAGGACCCCAGAAAGGACAGGCCUCCAGCCCUCAGGGUCCAAGUCCGGCACAGAACAAAACCCACCUGCUGUUCAGCAACUGAGUGAGGGGUGAAGCUGGGUUUCUGCUUCCCACCAUCCAGCCCUUGGACACUAGCUGCGAUCGAGGACAAGGAGCAGCCGGUUGACCAGGCACACCAGGGCCAGAGCAGGAGAGGGGAAGACAGCUUGCGGCAACAUCCUUGGUGUGAGGGGACGGCAUUUUUGGGUACACGUCUAAGGAAUAAUGAUGAAGGCACAGUUCAACAAAAACCUGCAAAGAGCAUUAGCUGGUCAAAUGAUUUUUGACAAGGGUGUCAACACCAUUCAAUGGGGAAAGGACGGUCUUUACAACAAAUGCUGCCAGGAAACCAGGAUGUCCACAUGCAAAUUAAUGAAGCCGGACCCUUACUCAAAAAAAAAAACUCAAAGUGGACCAAAGACUUAAAUGUAAGAGCUGAAACUAUAAAACUCUUACAAGAAAGCAUGAGGAGAGAGCUUCAUGACACUGAAUUUGGCAAUGAUCUCUUAGAUAUGACUCCAAAACACAUGCAACAAAGGAAAAAAAACAGACAAAUUGGACUUCAGGAAAAUUAAAAACUUUGUGCAUCAAAAGACACUAUCAACAGAAUAAAAAGGCAACCCACAGAAUGGAGGAAAAUAUUUGCAAAUUAUGUGUCUUAUAAGGGAUUAAUAUCCAGAAUAUGUAGAGAACUCCUAAAACUAGGCGAUAAAAAAAACAACAACCCAAUUCAAAAAUGGGCAAAGGAUUUGAAUAGACAUUUCUCCAAAGAAGACAAACAAACAGCCAAUAAGGACCUGAGAAGAUGUUCAAUACUAGUAAUCAUUACAACAAUGCUAACCGAAAUCAAAAUGAGAUACCAACUCACAUCCAUGAGGAUGGCUGUAAUCAGAAAACAGAAAAUAAAGAGCAUUGGUGAGGCUAUAGAGAAACUGAACCCUUGUGCAUUAAUGGAAAGAAUGUAAAAUGGUGCAGUCACUGUGGAAAGCAGUAUCACAGUUCCUGAAAAAAUUAAACAGAAUUACCAGAUGGUCCAGUAAUUCCACUUCUGGGUAUAUACCUCGCAGAAAUUGAAAGUAGCAUCUGGAAGAGAUAUUUGCGCAUCCAUGUUCAUAGCAGCAUUAUUUUCAAUAGUCAAGAGGUGGAAGCAACCCAAGUGUCCAUCGACAGAUGAAUGGAUAAACAAAAUGUGGUAUAUCCAUACAAUGGAAUAUUAUUUGGCCUUAAAAAGGAAAGAAAUUUUGACUCAUGCUACAGUGUAGAUGAACCUUGAAGACACUAUGCUAAGUGAAAUAAGUCAGUCAUAAAAAGACAAAUACUGUGUAAUUCCACUCAUCUAGGCUCCUAGCAUAGUCAGAUUCACAGAGACAGAAAGUAGAACGGUGGUUGCCAGGGGUUGGGAGGAGGGGGAAAUGAGGAAUUGCUGUUUAAUGGGUAGAGUUUCAGAUUUACAAGAUAAAAACGUUCUGGAGAUCCAUUACAACGUGAAUAUACUCAAUACUACUGAACCGUAUACUUUAAAAUGGUUAAGAUGUAAAUUUUAUGUUAUGUGUAUUUUACCAUAAUUCCAAAAGAUUUUUAAUUAAAAAAAAAGGGGCAGCCCUGUGGGGCGUGGUCUGCUUUGGUGGCUAGGGGUUCACUGGUUUAGAUCCUGGGUGCAGACUGCUUAUUAAGCCAUGCUGUGGCAGCAUCCCUUGCAGAAGAACUAGAAUGACUUACAAUUAUGUACUGGGGCUUUGGGGAGGAAAAAAAAGAGGACUGGCAACAGAUGUUAGCUCAGGGCCAAUCUUCCUCACCAAAGAAAAAAAAGAGCAUUAGCGUUUCAGUCCAGGAAACAACCCUCCAGUUCCUC
rnacentral:lncRNA from 1 species